GUCGUAACAAGGUUUCCGUAGGUGAACCUGCGGAAGGAUCAUUACCACACCAAAAAAACUUUCCACGUGAACCGUUCUGUCCGUUUUGUGCCGCUUGCUGUUGUCGCGAUUCGUCGAGAAGAGCAGUGGCUAAACGAAGGCUGUGAGCUUCGUGCUUGCGGUCGAUUUACUCUUUCAAACCCCAUCGUACGUUAAGAACUGAAGUAUACUGUGAGGACGAAAGUCCUUGCUUUGAACUAGAUAGCAACUUUCAGCAGUGGAUGUCUAGGCUC
rnacentral:misc_RNA from 1 species